UAAGACAGAGGGUGCAAACGUUGUUCGGAAUUACUGGGCGUAAAGCGCGUGUAGGCGGCACGGCAAGUCGGAUGUGAAAGCCCGCGGCUCAACCGUGGAAGUGCACUCGAAACUGCCGAGCUAGAGUCUCGGAGAGGAAGGUGGAAUGCUUGGUGUAGAGGUGAAAUUCGUAGAUAUCAAGCAGAACACCUGUGGCGAAGGCGGCCUUCUGGACGAUGACUGACGCUGAGACGCGAAAGCGUGGGGAGCAAACAGGAUUAGAUACCCUGGUAGUCCACGCCGUAAACGAUGAGUGCUAGGUAUCACAGGCUUUGACCCCUGUGGUGCCGCAGCUAACGCGAUAAGCACUCCGCCUGGGAAGUACGGCCGCAAGGCUA
rnacentral:rRNA from 1 species